rnacentral:lncRNA from 1 species
AGGGCCUUAGGGCCAUGGCAAUGUUUGGCACCUGGACCUUUCCCAAGUCAUCUGAUCAGAGGGAGCAGUGCCAACGAGUGCACAGAGCAGGUUAUCAGCUACUUACUGUUGCUGAGAAAUUAGCUUUGCAAAUUGUUAGAGGACAAUUCAACAGCAUUAGAGAUGAAAAAUGAACCAGAAAAUGUAUUCAGAAGCCAUUGAAGACACUAUGAAAGAGGUCAGCACAUCUGCAGUGCAAUGGACAAGCCUCGCCCUGGGAAAACCACCUUCAUGAUCAUGGUAUCUCCCCUGCCAGAAAAAAGAAAUCCUUCUUGUAAAGCACCAUGGAAGUAAGUUAUGGCUUCACGCUUCUGGCAUUUGUUGACCGCUAAGCUUGGACCACAGCUCCCCUGACGUGCCAGGGCAGGGAUGAGAGCUUCCCCGACCAGGAAUCCCAAGCCAAUAAUGAAUCUUCUGUGGAGCUAUCAAUCAAAGUGGCUCCAUCCUCUUCUCUCCCAGGCACAGCCAUUGACACCCAGGUGGCCAUGUGACAAAGCAGCA